AGUGAUAGAUCUGAAAUCCAAAACCUAAAGUCCAGAAGGAAGAAGGGAGCAUCUUUGUUCUUCAAAAUGUGAGGAAAGUGUCUCCAAAAACUCCAACAAGAGGCUGUAGCUGCAGAGA